CACGUAGGGUGCGAGCGUUGUCCGGAAUUAUUGGGCGUAAAGAGCUCGUAGGCGGUGUGUCGCGUCGGCCGUGAAAACCUGCAGCUUAACUGUGGGCGUGCGGUCGAUACGGGCAUGACUGGAGUUCGGCAGGGGAGACUGGAAUUCCUGGUGUAGCGGUGAAAUGCGCAGAUAUCAGGAGGAACACCGGUGGCGAAAGCGCGUCCCUGGACCCCACCUGACGCUGAGACGCGAAAGCCAGGGGAGCGAACGGG
rnacentral:rRNA from 1 species